GUUGAAAGCAAGUGGCCACAAGUACUGCUUAGUUUGCUCAGUCUAAACCUGGUAGUGCAUCCAGUUUAGCGCCGUGCACAUGUGUACGGACGCGUGCAUGGACGUAACGCUGCUGCCCAUCGCGAGUCGUAAGCGAAAAAAAAAGGCCGACUGAAAAAAAACAACAAGAAAUAUAAUAAGCUGCACGAUCAACAGAUUUUUGAAGAGACCGUUUCAACAGAGAUAUCUGAAGCAGAUCGUUAUUGGACAUGAAGAAAUGUGCAGUGGAUAACAGCAAAACAUGUGGUAACCGACUGACUGACGGUAGUAAGGCUCACAGCCUAAGUUUUUCACUAUUUACACCGAUAAUGUAGCACGUAUUUGCGCAAUUAAAUCACCUGCUAUGCGCAGCAACCGCACUCAAUUGAAGCCGCCAACGCAGCGAUGCACCAUUUGCUAUUUCAGGAUCACGAAAAACAAUGUAUUCACCGAAGUACAGCGGCGGUUGACCUGUCGGCAAGCUGUUAAUUCACAUAUGGCGAAAGCAAAUGUCACGGCGUCCAAGCCCACGAAACUGCGCUCACAAGAAUAUCGCGCACGCUUGGGCCUUUCCGACAUGCACAAUAGCGCACGCAGAGCGUGGUGCAGCCGACACCCGACAUUCGUGACUGAUCUACGUUCGAGAGUAGCUAUUUCAAAAAGCAAACAAAAAAAAA
rnacentral:lncRNA from 1 species